rnacentral:rRNA from 1 species
UACGUAGGGGGCAAGCGUUGUCCGGAAUCAUUGGGCGUAAAGAGCGUGUAGGCGGCCCGGUAAGUCCGCUGUGAAAGUCCAGGGCUCAACCCUGGGAUGCCGGUGGAUACUGUCGGGCUCGAGUCCGGAAGAGGAGUGUGGAAUUCCUGGUGUAGCGGUGAAAUGCGCAGAUAUCAGGAGGAACACCAGUGGCGAAGGCGGCUCACUGGACCGGAACUGACGCUGAGGCGCGAAAGCGUGGGGAGCAAACGGG